rnacentral:rRNA from 1 species
UAGGGAAUCUUCCGCAAUGGGCGAAAGCCUGACGGAGCAACGCCGCGUGAGUGAUGAAGGUCUUCGGAUCGUAAAACUCUGUUAUUAGGGAAGAACAAAUGUGUAAGUAACUAUGCACAUCUUGACGGUACCUAAUCAGAAAGCUCCGGCUAAAUACGUGCCAGCAGCCGCGGUAAUACGUAUGGAGCGAGCGUUGUCCGGAAUUAUUGGGCGUAAAGCGCGCGUAGGCGGUUUUUUAAGUCUGAUGUGAAAGCCCACGGCUCAACCGUGGAGGGUCAUUGGAAACUGGAAAACUUGAGUGCAGAAGAGGAAAGUGGAAUUCCAUGUGUAGCGGUGAAAUGCGCAGAGAUAUGGAGGAACACCAGUGGCGAAGGCGACUUUCUGGUCUGUAACUGACGCUGAUGUGCGAAAGCGUGGGAAUCAAACAGG